rnacentral:rRNA from 1 species
CAGCCGCCGCGGUAAUACCGGCGGCCCGAGUGGCGGUCACUAUUAUUGGGCUUAAAGCGUCCGUAGCCGGGUUGGGAAGUCCUCCGGGAAAUCUGGCCGCUUAACGGUCAGAAUGCCGGAGGAUACUCCCAGCCUAGGGAGCGGGAGAGGCCGAGGGGAUUCCCGGAGUAGGGGGGAAAUCCUAUAAUCCCGGGAGGACCACCUGUGGCGGAGGCGCUCGGCUGGAACGCGUCCGACGGUGAGGGACGAAGGCCAGGGGAGCAAACCGGAUUAGAUACCCGGGUAGUCCUGGCUGUAAACGAUGCGGACUUUGUGUCGGACAAGCUAUGAGCUUGUCCGGUGCCGGAGGGAAACCGUUAAGUCCGCCGCCUGGGGAGUACGGCCGCAAGGCUGAAACUUAAAGGAAUUGGCGGG